UACGAAGGGUGCGAGCGUUGUUCGGAAUUACUGGGCGUAAAGGGUUUGUAGGCUGAAAUGUAAGUCAAGUGUGAAAUCCCCGAGCUAAACUUGGGACGUGCAUUUGAAACUGUGUUUCUUGAGUAUCGUAGAGGGUGGUGGAAUUGUAGGUGUAGGAGUGACAUCCGUAGAGAUCUGCAGGAACAUCGGAGGCGAAGGCGACCACCUGGCCGAUUACUGACGCUGAGGAACGAAAGCGUGGGGGAGCAAACAGG
rnacentral:rRNA from 1 species